rnacentral:misc_RNA from 1 species
ACGAAUCAUAUUUUCAAAAUAUGAUUUCAGAAUAUGUAUACCUCUUAUAUACUUCAGUAUUUCAACAGAGCUAAUAUUUUGCAAUUAUUGUCCAUUUUAACUCACUCUUUAAUAUAAUGUAAUAGUUACAUGUAUAUUGUCAUGUACUAAGAUAGUGAAGUGCUUUUAUUUCCUAUAUACAGGUAUGUGUGUGUUUGUAUUUAGAUACUUAUUUUAUUAUUAUAAUAUGUACGAUUGUGAAUAUGUUUUAUAUUACUUCAUUGCACUUCAUGUAUAUGAACAAAUUACUAUCGUCUAUUCUUUUCAAAAGAUUAAAAAAAAAUAUAUUGAAAAUACACUAUCUAAAAACCUUUAUACGUUGUAUCAUUAUGAAUGCUUUAAUUUCAAAUAUUCAGCUAAAAUGGAUUCUGUCCUGGAUGGCGUAAUCUUUCACGUGCAGGUCAAUGGAUUUAUCUACUUUUUUUUCCCAAUUUGAUAUUUGACUGUCUAUGAUUUUCAUUUAUUUGUACUUAUUAAACCGUUUUCACAAUAAAUUUAACUCUUGUU